CAGAUUAUUCAACAUUCUUGAACAGAAAGGAGUUCCUGAGAACGGAUUCCUGACUGAGGAGCUAUGGACAGUUCUUGUCAUCUGAGGGCAAUUGUGGCAGUAACUUGUGGGAGAAGCCAACCAACACCAACAUAAGGCCUACUCCAUGAGAAGAAGCCCAUAUACAACACUGCUUGAGUAAGCAAGAACAACAGACUAAGUGGCCAGAGACCUAAGAGAAGCCUCAAGCAUUGCAUGUGAGACACAGAGCUGGGCCUGAGUUAGGAUUGCAUCUGAGACUGAACCAUCUGGAAAGCUUCCACACAUCCACAAAUUGUUAACAGGUCCUCAGAUUAAAAGACAAAUAUGGAACUGUUAUGCUUGGAUCUUUCUGAAGAUCCUCAUCAGAAUGGCUUCACAGCUCAAAGUCACUUUUAAGACAGAGUUACCAGCAAAUGACCUUAAAUUAAAGAAUACAGAGUUAAUUCCAAGCCAGCCUGGAAAAGAGAUCUAUAACUCCUUAGAGAGAAGGCAGUAUCCUGAGCCUGAAGAUGUUGGUGUUUCCUUUGAAACAAACACCUCAGGAUUCCAGAAGAGCAAGUCGAGGCACCUCCAGCUAUAAGAAGAGUACCUGUGGUCCUUGUAUACCAGAAUCAUGAGAUAAUCUCCACAUGUGCAGGUGUUUAAAAGUUACUUCAGAUCCUUGUGGAGAUGCUGUCAUCAUGGGUCUAGAAGUGAGUUGAAAAUCACCAAUCUUCUGGGAAAGAGUACCAAGAGAUCAUGAACCUUUAAAUCGGGGAAAGUGUCCCUUCCCAGUUAUAGCAGAGUCUCACU